GCCCGGAAACACUGGCCCGCGACGGAAUCGGUGUCACUCAUAAUCCGUCGCGCGCAGGUUCGAGUCCUGCCCGGGCCA
rnacentral:tRNA from 1 species